GCCUUCGUGGUGUAAUGGUAGCACACUCGGUCCGCAUUCUAGAGGUCCAGGUUCGACUCUCGAUGAAGGCA
rnacentral:tRNA from 1 species